rnacentral:sRNA from 1 species
UGACGCUGAGGCACGAAAGCGUGGGGAUCAAACAGGAUUAGAUACCCUGGUAGUCACGCCUAAACGAUGAAUACUCGCUGUUAGCGAUAUACAGUUAGCGGCUAAGCGAAAGCGUUAAGUAUUCCACCUGGGGAGUACGCCCGCAAGGGUGAAACUCAAAGGAAUUGACGGGGGCCCGCACAAGCGGAGGAGCAUGUGGUUUAAUUCGAUGAUACGCGAGGAACCUUACCCGGGCUUGAAAGUUAGUGAAUCAUUUAGAGAUAGAUGAGUGAGCAAUCACACGAAACUAGGUGCUGCAUGGCUGUCGUCAGCUCGUGCCGUGAGGUGUUGGGUUAAGUCCCGCAACGAGCGCAACCCCUAUGUUUAGUUGCCAGCACGUUAAGGUGGGGACUCUAAACAGACUGCCUGUGCAAACAGAGAGGAAGGAGGGGACGACGUCAAGUCAUCAUGGCCCUUACGUCCGGGGCUACACACGUGCUACAAUGGAUGGUACAGAGGGCAGCAAGCUGGCAACAGCAAGCAAAUCUCAAAAAGCCAUUCACAGUUCGGAUAGAGGUCUGCAACUCGACCUCUUGAAGUUGGAUUCGCUAGUAAUCGCGUAUCAGCAAUGACGCGGUGAAUACGUUCCCGGGCCUUGUACACACCGCCCGUCAAGCCAUGGAAGUUGGGGGUACCUAAAGUAUGUAACCGCAAGGAGCGUCCUAGGGUAAAACCGAUAACUGGGGCUAAGUCGUAACAAGGUAGCCGUACCGGAAGGUGCGGCUGGAAUACCUCCUUUCUGGAGUAGGUCAGACUACUCGCUGCGCAAAUGAUAUAAAUGACAGAAGAUCUCAAAAAGAAACACCCAUAGGAUGAAACAUCGUUUAGUGUUCUCAUACUGAAGUAAAGACACCUAGUCCCGUAGCUCAGUUUGGUUAGAGCACUACACUGAUAAUGUAGGGGUCAGCAGUUCAAAUCUGCUCGGGACUACAGAUAUAUUCUAAGGGGGAUUAGCUCAGCUGGCUAGAGCGCCUGCCUUGCACGCAGGAGGUCAACGGUUCGACUCCGUUAUUCUCCACCAUGACCGGUACUUAAGAUAGAAGGUACAGAAAUAGGGUUCAGGAAUGAACUCCGGGAUAGAAAAGUUCUUUGACAUAUUGGAAGAAGUUAAAAAAGAAGAGCAAACAACAAUAGAGACGUUGUUAGCUUUGAGGAAUGAAAUGAGUAAGCAAUUACAAAUAGAAAUCCGAAAGAGAUAACAACCAUCAAAAAAAGCAUUUCCAUAGGCGCAAAAGGCUAUGGAGAGAAGAAAGUAAAUAAGAGCACACAGGGGAUGCCUUGGCUCUCAGAGGCGAUGAAGGACGUGAUAAGCUGCGAUAAGCACUGGGGAUUAGCAAAUAUGAAUUGAUCCGGUGAUUUCCGAAUGGGGAAACCUGGCUAGUUGAAGACUAGUCGUAUAAUACGCAAACCUGCCGAACUGAAACAUCUAAGUAAGCAGAGGAAGAGAAAAUAAUAAUGAUUUCCUAAGUAGUGGCGAGCGAACGGGAAAGAGCCCAAACCAUAUUUGUUACGGCAAAUGUGGGGUUGUAGGACUACGAUAUGAUUAUAAUGCAAUGAAGUGGAACAGGAUGGGAAGCCUGGCAACAUAGAGUGAGAGCCUCGUACACGUAAGUACCAUUAGUCUAGUAGUAUCCUGAGUACCGCGAGGUCGGAGACGCCUUGUGGGAAUCUGCCGGCACCAUCCGGUAAGGCUAAAUACUCCUGAGAGACCGAUAGUGAACCAGUACCGUGAGGGAAAGGUGAAAAGAACCCCGAACAGGGGAGUGAAAUAGAACCUGAAACUGUGUGCUUACAAGCGGUCGGAGCGUCCAGGUGGCGUGACGGCGUGCCUUUUGCAUAAUGAGCCUACGAGUUACUCUUCUCUGGCAAGGUUAAGUGUUUAAGACACGGAUCCGAAGCGAAAGCGAGUCUGAAUAGGGCGUAUAGUCAGGGGAGGUAGACGCGAAACCUUGUGAUCUACCCAUGGACAGGUUGAAGGUGCGGUAACACGUACUGGAGGACCGAACCGAUAAACGUUGAAAAGUUUCCGGAUGAUCUGUGGGUAGGGGUGAAAGGCUAAUCAAACUGGGAAAUAGCUCGUACUCCCCGAAAUGUUUUUAGGAACAGCGUGGAUAUAAAGUUAUAUAGAGGUAGAGCUACUGAUUGGGUGCGGGGGAGUCAAAUCCUACCAAAUCCAGACAAACUCCGAAUGCUAUAUAAUAUGAUCUGCAGUGAGGCCCGGGGUGCUAAGGUCACGGGCCGAGAGGGAAAGAACCCAGACCAUCAGCUAAGGUCCCCAAGUUAUAGUUAAGUUGAACUAACGAGGUCCGAUUGCAUAGACAGCUAGGAUGUUGGCUUGGAAGCAGCCAUUCAUUUAAAGAGUGCGUAACAGCUCACUAGUCGAGCGAUCGGGCAUGGAUAAUAAACGGGCAUUAAACUAUACACCGAAGCUAUGGGUAAUAUUAAUAUUACGGUAGGGGAGCAUUCCAGCGGCAGCGAAGUUAUGACGUAAGUUGUGGUGGAGCUUCUGGAAAAGCAAAUGUAGGCAUAAGUAACGAUAAGGCGGGCGAGAAACCCGCCCACCGAAAGGAUAAGGUUUCCUGAUCAACGCUAAUCGGAUCAGGGUUAGUCGGGGCCUAAGGAGAACCCGAAAGGGAUAUUCGAUGGACAACGGGUUAAUAUUCCCGUACUUUUUAUAACUGCGAUGUGGUGACGGAGUAGUGACACUACCGCGAUCUGACGGAAUAGAUCGUUGAAGACAGUAGGUAUUGGUCUGGUAGGCAAAUCCGCCGGACUAGCUGAAAGUCGAUAGUACCGCGAACCUUCGGGUAAGUGGAUAGUGUAGGUAAUCAGACUUCCAAGAAAACCCGCUAAGCUUCAGGUUAUAAAAACCCGUACCGCAAACCGACACAGGUAUCCGGGAAGAGAAUUCUAAGGUGCUCGAGUGAAUCAUGGCUAAGGAACUCGGCAAAAUGGCCCUGUAACUUCGGGAGAAGGGGCGCUGGUAGCAAUAUCAGCCGCAGUGAAAAGGCCCAGGCGACUGUUUAACAAAAACACAUGGCUUUGCAAAAUCGAAAGAUGAAGUAUAAGGCCUGACACCUGCCCGGUGCUGGAAGGUUAAGAGGGGAUGUUAGUCGCAAGGCGAAGCAUUGAAUCGAAGCCCCAGUAAACGGCGGCCGUAACUAUAACGGUCCUAAGGUAGCGAAAUUCCUUGUCGGGUAAGUUCCGACCUGCACGAAUGGUGUAACGAUCUGGGCGCUGUCUCAGCCAUGAGCUCGGUGAAAUUGUGGUCCCGGUGAAGACGCCGGGUACCCGCAACGGGACGGAAAGACCCCAUGCACCUUCACUACAAUUUAACAUUGACAUUGGAUACAGGAUGUGUAGGAUAGGUGGGAGACUAUGAAGCGGCGUCGCCAGGCGUCGUGGAGUCAACGUUGAAAUACCACCCUUUCUGUAUUCGGUGUCUAACUUCGCCAAGCGAAGGACAUUGUUUGAUGGGUAGUUUGACUGGGGUGGUCGCCUCCAAAAAGGUAACGGAGGCUUUCAAAGGUAAGCUCAAUACGCUUGGUAACCGUAUGAGGAGUGCAAUAGCAUAAGCUUGCUUGACUGUGAGGCAUACAAGCCGAGCAGGGUCGAAAGACGGAUAUAGUGAUCCGGUGGUUCUGCAUGGAAGGGCCAUCGCUCAAAGGAUAAAAGGUACGCUGGGGAUAACAGGCUGAUCUCCCCCAAGAGCUCAUAUCGACGGGGAGGUUUGGCACCUCGAUGUCGGCUCGUCACAUCCUGGGGCUGGAGAAGGUCCCAAGGGUUCGGCUGUUCGCCGAUUAAAGUGGCACGCGAGCUGGGUUCAGAACGUCGCGAGACAGUUCGGUCCCUAUCUGUUGUGGGCGUAGGAAUUUUGAGUGGGGCUGACCUUAGUACGAGAGGACCGGGUUGGACUAGCCUCUAGUGAAUCUGUUGUUCCGCCAGGGGCAUUGCAGAGUAGCUACGCUGGGAAUAGAUAAGCGCUGAAAGCAUCUAAGUGCGAAACUAGCCACGAGAUGAGAAUUCC